rnacentral:tRNA from 1 species
GCCGGUGUAGUUCAAUAUAGAACAACCAUACAUCAUGCACGUGAAUGAGUAUGGGAGAUGCAGGUUUGAAUCCUGCCAUCGGCA